rnacentral:rRNA from 1 species
AGAUUAAGUUAUUAAGGGCGCACGGUGGAUGCCUUGGCACUAGAAGCCGACGAAGGACGUUACUAACGACGAUAUGCUUUGGGGAGCUGUAAGUAAGCUUUGAUCCAGAGAUUUCCGAAUGGGGAAACCCAGCACGAGUUAUGUCGUGUUAUCGAUAUGUGAAUACAUAGCAUAUCUGAAGGCAGACGCGGAGAACUGAAACAUCUUAGUACCCGCAGGAAGAGAAAGAAAAAUCGAUUCCCUGAGUAGCGGCGAGCGAAACGGAAGAGCCCAAACCAACGAGCUUGCUUGUUGGGGUUGUAGGACACUCUAUACGGAGUUACAAAAGAACAGACUAGACGAAUCAUCUGGAAAGAUGAAUCAAAGAAGGUAAUAAUCCUGUAGUCGAAAGUUUGUUCACUCUUGAGUGGAUCCUGAGUACGACGGAACACGAGAAAUUCCGUCGGAAUCUGGGAGGACCAUCUCCCAAGGCUAAAUACUCUCUAGUGACCGAUAGUGAACCAGUACCGUGAGGGAAAGGUGAAAAGUACCCCGGAAGGGGAGUGAAAUAGAACUUGAAACCGUGUGCUUACAAGUAGUCAGAGCCCGUUAAUGGGUGAUGGCGUGCCUUUUGUAGAAUGAACCGGCGAGUUACGAUUUGAUGCAAGGUUAAGCAGUGAAUGUGGAGCCGUAGCGAAAGCGAGUCUGAAUAGGGCGUUGAGUAUUUGGUCGUAGACCCGAAACCAGGCGAUCUACCCAUGACCAGGUUGAAGUUCAGGUAACACUGAAUGGAGGACCGAACCGACUUACGUUGAAAAGUGAGCGGAUGAGUUGUGGGUAGCGGAGAAAUUCCAAUCGAACCUGGAGAUAGCUGGUUCUCUCCGAAAUAGCUUUAGGGCUAGCCUCAAGUGAUGAUUAUUGGAGGUAGAGCACUGUUUGGACGAGGGGCCCUUAUCGGGUUACCGAAUUCAGACAAACUCCGAAUGCCAAUCAAUUUAACUUGGGAGUCAGAACGCGGGUGAUAAGGUCCGUGUUCGAAAGGGAAACAGCCCAGACCACCAGCUAAGGUCCCAAAAUAUAUGUUAAGUGGAAAAGGAUGUGGCGUUGCCCAGACAACUAGGAUGUUGGCUUAGAAGCAGCCAUCAUUUAAAGAGUGCGUAAUAGCUCACUAGUCGAGUGACACUGCGCCGAAAAUGUACCGGGGCUAAACAUAUUACCGAAGCUGUGGAUUGUCCGUAAGGACAAUGGUAGGAGAGCGUUCUAAGGGCGUUGAAGCAUGAUCGCAAGGACAUGUGGAGCGCUUAGAAGUGAGAAUGCCGGUGUGAGUAGCGAAAGACGGGUGAGAAUCCCGUCCACCGAUUGACUAAGGUUUCCAGAGGAAGGCUCGUCCGCUCUGGGUUAGUCGGGUCCUAAGCUGAGGCCGAUAGGCGUAGGCGAUGGAUAACAGGUUGAUAUUCCUGUACCACCAUUAUUCGUUUUAAGCGAUGGGGGACGCAGUAGGAUAGGCGAAGCGUACGAUUGGAUUGUACGUCCAAGCAGUGAGAUUGAGUGUUAGGCAAAUCCGGCACUCUUAAGAUUGAGCUGUGAUGGGGAGAGGAAAUUGUUUCCUCGAGUCGUUGAUUUCACACUGCCAAGAAAAGCCUCUAGCUAGAAUUGUGGUGCCCGUACCGCAAACCGACACAGGUAGUCAAGAUGAGAAUUCUAAGGUGAGCGAGCGAACUCUCGUUAAGGAACUCGGCAAAAUGACCCCGUAACUUCGGGAGAAGGGGUGCUCUUUAGGGUUAACGCCCAGGAGAGCCGCAGUGAAUAGGCCCAAGCGACUGUUUAUCAAAAACACAGGUCUCUGCUAAACCGUAAGGUGAUGUAUAGGGGCUGACGCCUGCCCGGUGCUGGAAGGUUAAGAGGAGUGGUUAGCUUCUGCGAAGCUACGAAUCGAAGCCCCAGUAAACGGCGGCCGUAACUAUAACGGUCCUAAGGUAGCGAAAUUCCUUGUCGGGUAAGUUCCGACCCGCACGAAAGGCGUAACGAUUUGGGCACUGUCUCAACGAGAGACUCGGUGAAAUCAUAGUACCUGUGAAGAUGCAGGUUACCCGCGACAGGACGGAAAGACCCCGUGGAGCUUUACUGUAGUCUGAUAUUGAAAUUCGGCACAGCUUGUACAGGAUAGGUAGGAGCCUGAGAUACGUGAGCGCUAGCUUACGUGGAGGCGUUGGUGGGAUACUACCCUCGCUGUGUUGGAUUUCUAACCCGCACCAUUUAUCAUGGUGGGAGACAGUGUCAGAUGGGCAGUUUGACUGGGGCGGUCGCCUCCUAAAGAGUAACGGAGGCGCUCAAAGGUUUCCUCAGAAUGGUUGGAAAUCAUUCAUAGAGUGUAAAGGCAUAAGGAAGCUUGACUGCGAGACUUACAAGUCGAGCAGGGUCGAAAGACGGACUUAGUGAUCCGGUGGUUCCGCAUGGAAGGGCCAUCGCUCAACGGAUAAAAGCUACCCCGGGGAUAACAGGCUUAUCUCCCCAAGAGUUCACAUCGACGGGGAGGUUUGGCACCUCGAUGUCGGCUCAUCGCAUCCUGGGGCUGUAGUCGGUCCCAAGGGUUGGGCUGUUCGCCCAUUAAAGCGGUACGCGAGCUGGGUUCAGAACGUCGUGAGACAGUUCGGUCCCUAUCCGUCGUGGGCGUAGGAAAUUUGAGAGGAGCUGUCCUUAGUACGAGAGGACCGGGAUGGACAUACCUCUGGUGUACCAGUUGUCGUGCCAACGGCAUCGCUGGGUAGCUAUGUAUGGACGGGAUAAGUGCUGAAAGCAUCUAAGCAUGAAGCCCCCUCAAGAUGAGAUUUCCCAACUUCGGUUAUAAGAUCCUCAAAGAUGAUGAGGUUAAUAGGUUCGAGGUGGAAGCAUAGCGAUAUGUGCAGCUGACGAAUACUAAUCGAUCGAAGACUUAAUCAAAUUUUA